ACGGCUCAGUAACACGUGGACAACCUACCCUGUGGAGGGGGAUAACCCCGGAAAACUGGGGAUAAUACCCCAUAGGUUAGGGUGGCUGGAAUGCCCCCUAGCUCAAAGGUCCGCCGCCACAGGAUGGGUCUGCGGCCGAUUAGGUUGUUGUUGGGGUAACGGCCCAACAAGCCUUUGAUCGGUACGGGUUGUGGGAGCAAGAGCCCGGAGAUGGAUUCUGAGACACGAAUCCAGGCCCUACGGGGCGCAGCAGGCGCGAAAACUUUACAAUGCGAGAAAUCGUGAUAAGGGAACCCCGAGUGCCCGUAAAUUCGGGCUGUCCGCCAGUGCAAAAAACUGGUGAAGAAAGAGCCGGGCAAGACCGGUGCCAGCCGCCGCGGUAAUACCGGCGGCUCGAGUGGUGGCCACUAUUACUGGGCUUAAAGCGUCCGUAGCUUGGUUGUUAAGUCUCCUGGGAAAUCCAUCGGCUCAACCGAUGGGCGUUCAGGAGAUACUGGNNACCUAGGGACCGGGAGAGGUGAGAGGUACUCCNGGGGUAGGAGUGAAAUCCUGUAAUCCUUGGGGGACCACCUGUGGCGAAGGCGUCUCACUAGAACGGCUCCGACAGUGAGGGACGAAAGCUGGGGGAGCAAACCGGAUUA
rnacentral:rRNA from 1 species